rnacentral:rRNA from 1 species
GAUGAACGCUGGCGGCGUGCCUAAUACAUGCAAGUCGAGCGAACAGACGAGGAGCUUGCUCCUUCGACGUUAGCGGCGGACGGGUGAGUAACACGUAGGUAACCUACCUAUAAGACUGGGAUAACUUCGGGAAACCGGAGCUAAUACCGGAUAAUAUUUCGAACCGCAUGGUUCGAUAGUGAAAGAUGGCUUUGCUAUCACUUAUAGAUGGACCUGCGCCGUAUUAGCUAGUUGGUAAGGUAACGGCUUACCAAGGCAACGAUACGUAGCCGACCUGAGAGGGUGAUCGGCCACACUGGGACUGAGACACGGUCCAGACUCCUACGGGAGGCAGCAGUAGGGAAUCUUCCGCGAUGGGCGAAAGCCUGACGGAGCAACGCCGCGUGAGUGAUGAAGGUCUUCGGAUCGUAAAACUCUGUUAUUAGGGAAGAACAAACGUGUAAGUAACUGUGCACGUCUUGACGGUACCUAAUCAGAAAGCCACGGCUAACUACGUG